UACGAAGGGGGCUAGCGUUGCUCGGAAUCACUGGGCGUAAAGCGCACGUAGGCGGCUUCUUAAGUCAGGGGUGAAAUCCUGGAGCUCAACUCCAGAACUGCCUUUGAUACUGGGCAGCUAGAGGACCGGAGAGGAUAGUGGAAUUCCCAGUGUAGUGGUGAAAUACGUAGAGAUUGGGAAGAACACCAGUGGCGAAGGCGGCUAUCUGGACGGUUUCUGACACUAAGACUCGAAAGCGUGGGGAGCAAACAGG
rnacentral:rRNA from 1 species